rnacentral:rRNA from 1 species
ACGGCUCAGUAACACGUGGAUAACCUGCCCUUGGGUCCGGCAUAACCCCGGGAAACUGGGGAUAAUUCCGGAUAACGCACAUAUGCUGGAAUGCUUUCUGCGUAAAAUGGAUUCGUCUGCCCCACGAUGGGUCUGCGGCCUAUCAGGUAGCAAUGGGUGUAGUGUACCUACUAGCCUAGGACCGGUACGGGUUGUGAGAGCAAGAGCCCGGAGAUGGACUCUGAGACACUAAUCCCUGCCCUACGGGGUGCAGCAGGCGCGAAAACUUUACAAUGCUGGCAACAGCGAUAAGGGGACCUCUAGUGCGAGGAUACAAUCCUGGCUGUCCUAAUGCCUAAAAAGCAUUGCAUAACAAGGGCCGGGCAAUACCGGUGCCAGCCGCCGCGGUAACACCGGCGGCUCGAGUGGUAACCGCUAUUAUUGGGUCUAAAGGGUCUGUAGCCGGCUGAAUAAAUCUCUUGGGAAAUCUGGCUUGUCAACUGUCAGGCUUUCAUGAGAUACUGUUCGGCUCGAGACCGGGAGAGGUGAAAGGUACCUCAGGGGUAGGGGUGAAAUCUUGUAAUCCUUGAGGGACCACCAGUGGCGAAGGCGUCUCACCAAAACGGACCUGACGGCAAGGGACGAAAGCUAGGGGCACGAACCGGAUUAGAUACCCGGGAAGUCCUAGCCGUAAACGACACUCUCUAGGUGUCGGCCACGGUGCGACCGAUGUCGGUGCCGUAGGGAAGCCGUGAAGCGAGCCACCUGAGAAGUACGCCUGCAGGCUGAAUUUAAG